CCUACGGGGGGCUGCAGUGGGGAAUAUUGGACAAUGGGCGAAAGCCUGAUCCAGCCAUGCCGCGUGUGUGAAGAAGGCCUUCGGGUUGUAAAGCACUUUCAGUGGGGAAGAAAGCCUUGGGGCUAAUACCCUCGAGGAAGGACAUCACCCACAGAAGAAGCACCGGCUAACUCCGUGCCAGCAGCCGCGGUAAUACGGAGGGUGCGAGCGUUAAUCGGAAUUACUGGGCGUAAAGCGCGCGUAGGCGGUCUGAUAAGCCGGUUUGUGAAAGCCCCGGGCUCAACCUGGGAACGGCAUCCGGAACUGUCAGGCUAGAGUGCAGGAGAGGAAGGUAGAAUUCCCGGUGUAGCGGUGAAAUGCGUAGAGAUCGGGAGGAAUACCAGUGGCGAAGGCGGCCUUCUGGACUGACACUGACGCUGAGGUGCGAAAGCGUGGGUAGCAAACAGGAUUAGAUACCCGUGUAGUC
rnacentral:rRNA from 1 species